AAAUGGAUGUUUUUUCUCCAUCUUAUUUUCAUGAGAAGCAAAAACCGUUUGAUAACUUAAUUUCCAGGGACAAUUCAAAUGAAUUGGAACAUGAUUAAUAUGCAGUAUACCUUGUACUAUUAUGACAAGAUACUAAUUUUAAAGACCUAUCAUCUAAUUUUCAAUUGGUACAUGUAAUCAUAAACUUUCAUUAUCAAAUAAAUUCCUAUUUCACCAAAUAGUUGAAAUACGUUUUGCAUUUUAAUCUCUAAUACAAAUUACAGUUAUGAUUGUUGUGGAUUCAUGUUAGUACAUGCAGUAAUUAAACUGACAAAUGAUUUAUUGGAGUAUGUGAUCACCACGUCAUGGGAAAUGCGAUACCCGGGAUAUUUAGUAUCACCAACAGCUUGACCAGCUAGCACUCGAUCCACGAUGAUGGCGAAAUGGAUGUGUGGGUUAGUCUUUGCUGCCAUCAUUUGCAGUUCAAAGGGAAGCCUAAAAACUUGAGAACACGUCAAAUAUGGGAUGGAAAAUUAUCGUGAGAAAGGAAUUUGUAAAAAUUACCCUCACCGCUUAAGGGUACUGUCAUGCCUAUUAUGACUGUUCUUCCACUUCCAGUCCUCGCAAAAGAAGAUGGGAUAAGGGGUUCCGAGAAUGUGUGUACCCGAAAUUGUUUAAUGCCAAAACCAGGAAGUGUGAACUGUUUUUCUACGUAAAAUGCGGUGCAAGAAAGGAAUUUAAAUCCGGAUAUGGUUGCUUUGCAAACCAAUGCUUGUGGUCACAUUGUAUUUCAUGUUCUGUGCGCAUCCCGAGCUGUGAAGGAUUAAAGGACGGUGUACACAGACAUCAAUAUAGGGGAGAAGACGUUGGUUGAUACACUGCUUCAAGGAAAGACUGAUGAACUUCUGGUACGGAUGGAGAUGAAGCUGAAAUUUUCCCAACACUUGUAAACAAAUCCAUUUGAUAUAAAUA